rnacentral:rRNA from 1 species
UACGUAGGGGGGCAAGCGUUGUCCGGAUUUAUUGGGCGUAAAGAGCGUGUAGGCGGCUAGACAGGUCCGCUGUGAAAACUCGAGGCUCAACCUCGAGACGUCGGUGGAAACCGUCUGGCUAGAGUCCGGAAGAGGAUCGCGGAAUUCCCGGUGUAGAGGUGAAAAUUCGUAGAUAUCGGGGAGGAACACCGGUGGCGAAGGCGGCGUCUGGGUCGAUACUGACGCUGAGGUGCGAAAGGCGUGGGGGAGCAAACAGG